GACGAACGCUGGCGGCGUGCUUAACACAUGCAAGUCGAACGGAAAGGCCCUGCUUUUGUGGGGUGCUCGAGUGGCGAACGGGUGAGUAACACGUGAGUAACCUGCCCUAGACUUUGGGAUAACUUCAGGAAACUGGGGCUAAUACCGGAUAGGAGCUCCUGCUGCAUGGUGGGGGUUGGAAAGUUUCGGCGGUUGGGGAUGGACUCGCGGCUUAUCAGCUUGUUGGUGGGGUAGUGGCUUACCAAGGCUUUGACGGGUAGCCGGCCUGAGAGGGUGACCGGCCACAUUGGGACUGAGAUACGGCCCAGACUCCUACGGUAGGCAGCAGGGGGGAACAUUGCACAAUGGGCGGAAGCCUGAUGCAGCAACGCCGCGUGCGGGAUGACGGCCUUCGGGUUGUAAACCGCUUUCGCCUGUGACGAAGCGUGAGUGACGGUAAUGGGUAAAGAAGCACCGGCUAACUACGUG
rnacentral:rRNA from 1 species